UCGGGGUGCGGUUAUUUUUUCUCAUCUUAGUUUACUAUUUUGGCGCGAUUUUGACAAUUUCUGGCGCAUUCCACUUAUUUACUUUAGCGGCCAUAGAGCAAUGGUUUACUAACGGGAAAUGUGAUGGAUUGCAGCAGCAAUGCUUGGAAUAUAAAGAAGAAGUGAAGCAAUUAUGUUACCUAUUAUUUUUUAUAAAGACAGAAGGAACGUGGAAGAAAAAACAUUUUGUGCAGCAUGUGAAAUCAAGGAAAUAAAAUGGAAGAAGGGCUGCUACUUUUCAUGCGCCCGAAACCAGCCACCUCAUCAUCAUAGCAUGUUGCAUUGGAGCUCUGCUGGAGUUUGCUGAUGACAGGAUGCUGAAGGGCUGAAGCUGGUAGCUCUGGCAGGAGUCCAGUGUCCACCAGCUCAAGAUCCGACGCCCCCGCGUCGCCGCCGUGCGGCCCUCCGCGGAGACGGGGACGGCGGUCAUGAUUGAAGACACCGCAUUUCCCGCCUGGACUGUCCGGUCGGAGACUGGUAAUCCCUCCGGUGAGCCGCACACCGUGGAGCUACUGCACCGCGCGUGUCCACCCGCAGCGCAAUGCCAGCGACAAUGCCGUGAGUGCGACAUCUGCGUGCAUAUGACGCAGUGCGACUGUCACGACUCGCGGCUCAGUGUUCUGUCAGUGUGACAGUGCGGUUUAGUGUGACAGUGCGGUUUAGUGUGACAGUGCGUUUUUUUUUUAAACGUGCGCUCGCGCUCGUUUUAGCGAGGUGCUCUGUUGUAUAUAACCACCUUGAUGGAGACCUAUGUGCUGCCGCUUGAGUUUCAAUGUACAGUUUUAUGCAUCAAACUAGCGUAAGUAAACGGCUGUCAGAGGUCACUUUGAAGCGCAAUUAGUACCCAUAACCCAGCUGGGUUGAGCGAGUCAUGUGACUAGUCCCGAUGAACGUACUGUUUCGAUGUCGUCAGUCGUAGACUUUUGUAAACCAUUCGUUUCGGAGCUCUGUGUUGUGUUGUUCGGGACCGCAGUUGUUUGAGCAGUUUGCUUUAUGCGUCGUACGCUGACAGAACGCUGGUCGUACACAAAUCAUGUGUUUCCUUUCACCCCUAAUGGGUUACUGCGGUACCUACCUAUGCAGUUGGAAUGUGUCUCGAGACACUAACUGGUCGCACUUGGUUGUGAAAAUGACACUAGCUGGUCGCACUUGGUUUCAAGCUGCGCUUGGAAAUCGUGCAAUUCUAUUUGCAUUUUGCAAUGCAAUUUUAUUGCCGUUACCGUAUUGGUAGAUAGUGUCAGAAGUUGGCCAUUUGAUACGUUGUCACUUGUCAGACGCUGUUGCCUUAAAACUGACAAAUUGAUGGGCCGCGUUUGUGUUCCUGUUAAGAAACGGAUCUCAAUAUAAAGUGAUUCAGAGGUAGGAACCUGAAUGCAUUCGUUCAGA
rnacentral:lncRNA from 1 species